ensembl:lncRNA
UGAGAAUUUGAGCCCUGCAAUAUGUUCAGACUUAAGUAUAAAUCUUGUUAUUUCACCAUUUUUUAAUUGCAGUAAAUCCAGCUAGUAUUAUUUAAUGCCAUUUUCACCAUAAUUACUAGGGGGGAAAGUAGCAUAAGUAUUCAUCCCCUUUGAACUUCUCAAUUCAGUAUUCAUCCCCUUUUGAACGAUCUCAAAUUAUUUCUUCAUGUUCCUGAAAGAACCCAGAGUUAGUUAGAGAACAUACCUAAACACGUCUGGGACAAAGUUCUGAAAGAAAAGCUAUCAAUCAGGGUUUGGUUGAAGGAGGUGUGGCCUUUGUAUCUGUCAGUCAAAGUGAAGGCGGCGUGGCCUUUCUAUCUGUCAGUCAGCAUGAAGGAGGUGUGGCCUUUGUAUCUGUCAGUCAGCAUGAAGGAGGUGUGGCCUUUUUAUCUGUCAGUCAGGAUGAAGGAGGUGUGGCCUUUGUAUCUGUCAGUCAAACUGAAGGAGGUGUGGCCUUUGUAUCUGUCAGUCAAAGUGAAGCAGUUGUUGCCUUUGUAUAUGUCAGUCAGAGUGAAGGAGGUGUGGCCUUUAUAUCUGUCAGUCAGAGUGAAGGAGGUGUGGCCAUUGUAUCUGUCAGUCAAAGUGAAGGAGGUGUGGCCUUUGUAUCUGUCAGUCCCACAAGGCAUGGCCUCUGUGUGAUCAACCAUGUUUGGUUUUUGAAGUUUCUUUUUCUUUUUUCUUUUUAUUGUAGCUAUAUGGCUAAAUACGAACUAAACUGCACCGUGUAGCUAAAGUUUUCAGAUUGACUCUGUAAUUUUUUAAUAUGUAAUUAAUUAAUAUUAUUAUUAUUAUUUUUUUUUUUACAAAGUACUAAGGCCUUUGCAGUCUCUCACUUCGGUAAAGAUGCUACACUGAUAAUGAUUUUACCGGCUGUGGAAUAAAUUUACAUCACUAAAACAUUAUUUUUAAAUGUUUGACCAGCUGUGAACGCAUCACCACACACACGUCCACAGGGUCUUAAUAUCCGCCUGUUUCCUUCCUCUCCUUUAAACUCCUCCACAGAUUUAGAGAAACAACCCAUAAUCCUCUUCCGCUUUUGGGACAGGGCUGAAAUCGGCGUGGCGAUUAUGUAGCAGAAAUUGGCUUUGUGUCCCUGCAGAGAGACGCACACUCACACACACUCCAGAAACACUCCCACCUUUAAACAUGGACAAACAGAGGGAUUAAGGGACAUUUUUGUACAAUACAACUCCUUACACAGCAG